ACGUUUUUUUUUUCAUGUUUCUCUCCUCUCUUUAUCUGCCUCCUUUCGUUACUUUCACUAUCGCCUCUUUUCCUUCUCUCUUGCGCUUUCAAUUAGCCUUUCACUCUCUCUCUCUCCCUCUUACCUCAUUUAUUUCUCUUACACUGGCGGAAUUAAUUUCACGCAGUCUAAAUUUCUGGUGUUACACCGUCUCUUAGUAUCUUUAACGGAAUACCACGGUACACGCUUUUCUAUACACAAAAUAUUCAUUACAAAUCAAGGAACUUUAAAAAUGCCCGGGAUAGAAAAUAAAGAGAAACGGAGACGGAAUUAAUUG